rnacentral:rRNA from 1 species
AUUGAACGCUGGCGGCAUGCUUUACACAUGCAAGUCGAACGGUAACAGGCCUUCGGGUGCUGACGAGUGGCGAACGGGUGAGUAAUGCAUCGGAACGUGCCCAAUCGUGGGGGAUAACGUAGCGAAAGUUACGCUAAUACCGCAUAAGCCCUGAGGGGGAAAGUGGGGGACCGCAAGGCCUCACGCGAAUGGAGCGGCCGAUGUCAGAUUAGCUAGUUGGUGGGGUAAAGCUCACCAAGGCGACGAUCUGUAGCGGGUCUGAGAGGAUGAUCCGCCACACUGGGACUGAGACACGGCCCAGACUCCUACGGGAGGCAGCAGUGGGGAAUUUUGGACAAUGGGCGCAAGCCUGAUCCAGCCAUGCCGCGUGCGGGACGAAGGCC